UACGUAGGGUGCGAGCGUUGUCCGGAAUUAUUGGGCGUAAAGGGCUCGUAGGCGGUUUGUCGCGUCGGGAGUGAAAACUCAGGGCUUAACCCUGAGCCUGCUUCCGAUACGGGCAGACUAGAGGUAUGCAGGGGAGAACAGAAUUCCUGGUGUAGCGGUGAAAUGCGCAGAUAUCAGGAGGAACACCGGUGGCGAAGGCGGUUCUCUGGGCAUUACCUGACGCUGAGGAGCGAAAGUGUGGGGAGCGAACAGG
rnacentral:rRNA from 1 species